rnacentral:lncRNA from 1 species
CACAAAGUUUAAUAGCAAAAUCUAGAAAGAAAGUUAAUGAUUCAAAAUAUCAUGUAAAACCCCCUGGCCUUACACAAUAAUCCCAACCGUAGUAUGCUAGCUUGUAAGCGAAUAAGCCUCUUAUCGUAGUAUGCAGGGCCUAGGUGUGUUGGGCAUUGCGUGCGACGGCAUGCUGCACGGACGACGUACGCACAGUGUGAGACGCCUGUUCGCGUGAAAGGUGAUGCGCGUAUGGCUCGCCAGCAUACGACAAGACGUGCACAGGACCUAUCCCCACGCUGUGCGCACGUCCCGUGUGUGCGUGUGUGUGGACGGGAUGUGCGCGUUGUGUGCAAGUCUUGCAGUUGCUGUGCCCGUGUGCGUACGUGCACAGUGCGCGGCAUUCGUGUGGACAGCUCUGCUUCCCUGUGGGAUUUUUUUCCUGUUUCGCCAUUUUCCCAAAAUUUCCCAAUUUUUUAAAAUUCAUC